UCCCCGAAAUGGCAAUUACUUCCGAAAGGGGUAAGCGCAAAUCAGUAGACCUAGAGCUAUCCGCUACACAUACGGUAUGGUGGCUGCUGAUGCCGAA
rfam:Pseudanabaena biceps PCC 7429 scaffold_00050, whole genome shotgun sequence.